CACACACACAUACUUCCUCCCACUCACUCACUCUCAUCCACACAGGAUUACAUAAAACAUCCUCCUGGCCAGCGCUCACCACUUACUCUCUCUCUCUCCGCACAAUGAAGCAGGACAGUGGUUAUGAAACUACUCUGUUGCACUAGAUGUUCUUGCGUGAUUUUCACUUUCAUUUAUCUGAACUCGUUCCCUGUGACCCCCUAAGACAGUCAGAUGUAGAUAGUCUAUUCGAUUGAAGGCAAGGUGCUCUACCCCAUAAAAGACAAUCCAUGAGAAUACAUUCUGUAUUGAACCCUAGGGCACAUAGUGAAGGGUAGCAGGGUAUUCUCAGUCACUGGAUGACCUCACUGUUUAUUUAUGGUUGUUCAGUCUAUCCUCUGAGUGAUUACAAAGCCUCUUUUCAUACACAUUACGAUGCAGAUUGGUCUAUAGCUUGAUGAAUGUGACAGGUUGACCUGUUACUUACUACCAGGGUCUACCUGAUGUGAACAUAUCUGGUGAAGAGGGUUUACUAAAAUAUAGCAAAUGACUUCGCUCUCUUGAGACAUGACCACAACCAUUUUGUGAACAAUCUUUUCACUUUAGGCCCACACAGUAAACGGUAUCUGUGACAGUGCUGCCCUCCUCUGGAGAGGCAGAGUGGUAGCAGUGUGUGUACUAUAAACACCAGUCAUUUAACACAGUGUACGGGGCUUCCAGGAACUGUACAACCUCAGACUUCAUUAGGGAAAUGUCUUCUCAAAAGGUCAUGCAAUGAGCUAGCAGCUGUUUGAUUAAUAGUGUCACGCUGUAGCACAGCAUAGUGUUUCUUUGCCAUGGAACAAAUGGAAGCGAAAGAAAGACAAAUUUUACACAAUCUACCCUUUUCAAAUAGGAAAAGCUAUUCUCUGGCCAGUUGAAUAGGAAGCUUGAAGUGUCUGUUUGUACACGAAGAAGAAUUUGAGGAUUACUGAUCAACGGCAACAAUUCAUAAUCUAGGAGACAUUUCCACUGGUGGCUCUUCAUUUCUAUCUAGACACUAAUCUUUCCACUGAAUGGACUGUGCGGGUCAUAUGGCAGUGACAUGUGAACAGCUGUGUCUGGCAGCAGACGGAGACGAACAGUGCGGCCACAAAUAACCCUAGGGAAGACGGGCUUGAGUUUCACUCAGAAGGGACAACUGCACGUGGGGUACGGGGGACGCAUGAAGAGAGGAAGCUCUCACAGCGGUUGCUCCCUCGCUGCCCGUGCCUAUUUGGCACGAGAUGUGGCUUGCGGAGUUUGCCCAAAUAGGAGAAAGUAACUGCAGUUACAACAGUUGUUGUGGAAACAAAACGCAAACUAUAUAUACAUCUCUUACAGGCCUGAAUGAGUUCCAGCACCUCCUGACCGUUGGACUCGAGAGACGCCUGCUGACUAGAGAGAAUUUCUUUUAGGCUAUGGAUGUCAUCGGCCUGCCCCUGUAGCUGCAUACUCAUGUCGUCUACAGAAACGCCAUGCUGGUCGAGUUGGGAUGCCGCACUGGUGAUACUGCUGGAGAUGCUGGAGAUGCUGAGGGCAAGCUGGGAGUUGGAGCUCAGAAUGUCACUGAUGCUCUGCUUCACCGCCUCCAGCUCCUUGCUUUGGUCCGUGAGAAAGUGCACUCAGUGCAGCCACUGACACUCCAUCUGCUGCAGGUCUGCAAUCUUGUUCAGCUCUGUAGUCAUCUCAGUAUGCAGGGCCAGCACCUGAGCAACGGAGGUCCGAAUCGUCCAGUUGGCUCGGUAGCUGUCAGGGCCAUCUCUGCCUGCUUCUGGGCCUCGGGCUGUGCCUGCUCCAGAGCCAGCAGCCUCUCUUCCACAUGACUAAUGCCAUCCAACUGCAAGAGGAUGACAUAGCUUAAAAGUUGCUUUUCAAAAGUUAAAUAAAGAAUCCUGAGAAAAUGGCUUACACUAUCACAAAAAUCUUUCUUUAAACACCAUGGCAGGCCAUGGUCAUAUAGGGAAGAAUCGCAAGUAAGUGCCAAUCCUCAACCGGAUUUUAUGUAUAACAUGAGGGGCACCUCAUAAAAUGUGUGGUAGUACUGAUUGCUUGAAAUAUACAAGCACAUUGUACAUUCCCAUUGGAGUGACAUUUCAGGUCCUUCCAAUGUGAUGAGUAGCUAAGCAGUAAGAGGAUCCCUAGGACAAGACCACUAUUAAUGAGCAAGAAACCCCACACCAUUCUACUCAUCACACGUGUAGUCAACCACAAGAAAUACAAGGCAUGGCCCACCAAUACUAUAUUAAAUGGUAACAUAGCAACCAGAUAGUCUCACACAUUUUACAGAAUUUCACAAAGAAUACACAUUACAGAAUACUACAUUACAAAAUAACUCAGUAGCCUACUCAAAAAAAAAAAAAGAUGUCAUGGGACAUAUUUGGAUUUCUGUACCCUGUAAAUAAUCGCAGAGAAUAGACUGUAAAAUAGACUUACUUGUGUGUUCCCUGCCCCAUCAUGUUGUUGGAACUUAACAAACUUCCUCUGCAAGACGUAACGGUUUCUGCAAAUCGUCAAUGGAUUGUUGCUGCUGAUAACAGAGCCAACUGAGAAGUGGACCCCCAACGACGACCACGAAUAACAAAAAGCACAGAAGAACAUAAUGGUUGCGCGGUUUACUUUUGACCACCGGUGGAUCCAGCACAAGAGGCAACUUGAUCCUCCUGUUUGACGUUGUUUUUGACCUUGCGCUUACCCAUGGUGUUGUCCGGCAGGGAACACUCCUCGUUACAGUAUAGUAUGUAGUUGGUGUAGUGUGUAAUGUUCGGACAGUCCUGUCUAGUUAUUAGCCUUUUGUGAGGUCCUGGUCCUUCAUUGGUUUUCAACAAUCACCGGUAGCCCAGCGUUUCAGGAGGCGUGGCUCGUGGGUGUGUGUGUGUGGGAGCACGUUGUAUAGUUAGGGCCUGUACGAACGUAUUUGAAUAACUGUUAUUUGAUGUUGCUGGUGCACAUUUGAAUAAGACGACAGUGAUCUUCAUGCGUGGCAUUUAUUUCCUGCGCAAGUGGACUAUUACUUAAAAUGCACAGGUUGUAUGAGUGUGUGUGAGUGAUGAGUACCAAAUAAAA
ensembl:lncRNA